GAUCACUUUGUCUUGUUAUGUGUUUGUGAAACAUAUAGCCAACAGAGGACGCUGUAGGUUUAGAGUUGAUAGCAGAUGACAAGGCUUCCCGUAACGAGGAAGUUCACGAGAGAUCACCAUACGUGCGGAAUAAUAAAGUUGAGCUCAGGCUCAUUUCUUCAUAAAAUGAUGGCUCAUCAUUUAUCAGAAGAACAACACACACUUCAUAUCGGGAAAGCCUCACUUGGAUGAUGAAACUGAUCCCGAUUGGGCACUAAGCAAACUAGACUUCUAAACAGGAAAGAUGCAAGGAAAAAGACUGAAGCCGCUAUGAGUCUUUUGGAACUCAGCACAUACCUGCAAGCUGACAGUAGAGCUGAUUCACCAGUGGAAACAGAAGAAUCAUUACCAGAGGUACCUGAGGUGGUAGAGGAAUUGUCUGAUGCUGAGAAGCUGGAUUUGGCAAAUGAAGAAAUUUCUCAGCUGAAGAAAGAAAACCAACCAUUGACAAAACAAAAUGAGUGUUUGAAGAGCAAAGUGCAUAGUGAUUGUCUUUGUGUGUUGUGCCUUGACUAACAUGUGUCCAUCUGUUGUACCUUUUGAUUGAAGCAGGCAUAAACAUUAUUCUAUAUGAUGUGUAAUGUGUAACUAUCAGUGGUAUUGUGAUACAUAUACUGUGGCAAAGUAUAUUUUACAAAGAACAUUACAGAUAUGUUUUUGUUAUUUAUUCUGGAAGAAAUAA